UGAAUACGAAUGCGACACACUCCAACGUGUGUCAGCUUCGCCAGCUAAGAGAACAGCCAGUUCACGGGAAGAGGAUGACUGAGUGAUUUUGUGAUAAAUUGGAUAGAAAUGCACAGCAGCUGGAUCCAGAUUGACAGCUCCAAGUCAAUGAACACCCAGCGCAAGGCAGUUCUUCAACCGUGCAGAACUUGGACCCACUGAGGGAAAUAAGGAGAGACGCUGCUGUCAAGCUGCUGUUUGAAGAAUGAACACACAAACAUUAAGAGUAAGACUGAGUGGAGGGAAGGGGGGGUUGGUGGUGGUGCUAUUUGGAGAAUCAGUGCAGAUGCAUUGACUGACAAUCCCCCGCUAAAUGGUUUUGCAGCACAAUUAUUGCUUUACAAGCUGUAUUUUCUCCUGUGAGCAGCGUUAUGCUGUUCACUGGAUCGAUUAAUUUCAUAUCUAAUGAUAUCUGUGCGCGCUGAAUGCUCAAAAAGUUGCAGGAUUUCAGAGUUCCCAGAGGAACUGCUGUAAAUCACAGAGACUUUGAGGAGGAGGCCAGAUUACAGAACAUCAUGGGACGACACAGUUCGUUAAAACAAAUAAUUACAGGAAUCAUUAAUAAACUUUUCUCUGCAACUAGGAAAAUAAAAAAUCUAAAACAUUGGAA